UACAGAGGGUGCAAGCGUUAAUCGGAGUUACUGGGCGUAAAGCGCACGCAGGCGGUCUGCUAAGUUUGGAGUGACAGUUGGUGGCUUAACUGCCAAAGUGCUUCGAAAACUGACAGACUUGAGGGCUUCAGAGGGACACGGAAUUCCGGGUGGAGUGGUGAAAUGCGUAGAGAUCCGGAGGAACACCAAAGGCGAAGGCAGUGUCCUGGGGAGUACCUGACGCUCAGGUGCGAAAGCCAGGGGAGCGAACAGG
rnacentral:rRNA from 1 species